rnacentral:rRNA from 1 species
CAUACGGGAGGCAGCAGCAGGGAAUAUUGUGCAAUGAGCGAAAGCUUGACACAGCGACACCGCGUGUGGGAUGACGGUUCUAGGAUUGUAAACCACUUUCAGGAGGGAAGAAAAUGACGGUACCUCCACAAGAAGACCCGGCCAACUAUGUGCCAGCAGCCGCGGUAAUACAUAGGGGUCAAGCGUUGUCCGGAUUUAUUGGGCGUAAAGAGUUCGUAGGCGGUUCAACAAGUCGGUCGUAAAAGUUUAGGGCUCAACCCUAAAAUGUCGAUCGAUACUGUUGUGACUAGGAUACGGUAGAGGUGAAUGGAAUUCCGAGUGUAGCGGUGAAAUGCGUAGAUAUUCGGAGGAACACCAAUUGCGAAGGCAGUUCACUGGACCGUGAUCGACGCUGAGGAGCGAAAGCUAGGGGAGCAAACAGGAUUAGAUACCCUGGUAGUCCUAGCUGUAAACGAUGGAUACUAGAUGUAGGAACUGGAUUGACGGUUUCUGUAUCGUAGCUAACGCGUUAAGUAUCCCGCCUGGGGAGUACGGUCGCAAGACUAAAACUCAAAGGAAUUGCCGG